rnacentral:rRNA from 1 species
CGGCGAGUGGCGAACGGGUGAGUAUAGCAUCGGAACGUGCCAAGUAGUGGGGGAUAACCAAACGAAAGUUUGGCUAAUACCGCGUAAGCUCCAAGGAGGAAAGUAGGGGACCUAAAUAAGGCCUUACGCUAUUUGAUCGGCCGAUGUCGGAUUAGCUAGUUGGUGGGGUAAUGGCUCACCAAGGCAAUGACCCGUAGCGGGUCUGAGAGGACGAUCCGCCACACUGGGACUGAGACACGGCCCAG